GAGUUUGAUCAUGGCUCAGAUUGAACGCUGGCGGCAUGCCUUACACAUGCAAGUCGAACGGUAACAGGUCUUCGGAUGCUGACGAGUGGCGAACGGGUGAGUAAUACAUCGGAACGUGCCCGAUCGUGGGGGGAUAACGAAGCGAAAGCUUUGCUAAUACCGCAUACGAUCUACGGAUGAAAGCAGGGGACCGCAAGGCCUUGCGCGAACGGAGCGGCCGAUGGCAGAUUAGGUAGUUGGUGGGAUAAAAGCUUACCAAGCCGACGAUCUGUAGCUGGUCUGAGAGGACGACCAGCCACACUGGGACUGAGGCACGGCCCAGACUCCUACGGGAGGCAGCAGUGGGAAUUUUGGACAAUGGGCGAAAGCCUGAUCCAGCCAUGCCGCGUGCAGGAUGAAGGCCUU
rnacentral:rRNA from 1 species